AUGCAGAUGAACAACAAGGAGCCGGCCGCCGACGGCAAGUCGCCGACUACCAUCUGUAGCAGGCUUCAGAGAGCCUUCCACGCCCGGCCGGUCUUCGGGCCUCUUCGCCGCCUCACGGGCCAACCCCACGACGGCGGAGCUGCCGCUACCGGCGUACCCGGGGGAGCGCCUGCCACGACGCACGGUGGUGCACCGCCACCGGUUGUAUUGCCGGCACGUGCACCGGCGCCGUCUCCAGCAGGCAAAGCUCCCGCACCUACGGCGACACCGGCGAUCGUGCCAGCGGCGCCCCAGAAACCGGCUGCUGCCAAGGGAGGUGGCAAGCCUGGGCAGGUCCUCGGGAGCACUCCUACCGUCGCUGCAACCAGGAGCAAGGUUGCCGAGAAGGCGGCAGGGGGGAUCCCGGUACCGGUGCCACCGCCGGCAGUCAUGGCUGGAAGGCCGGCAGCGGACGCGAAGGCUGGGGACAAGGCGCAGCAGACAAAGGGGAAGAUCAGGGUGAGCUCCAGGGUCCGCAAGGCCUUGGCCUCAUCCAAGUAG
rnacentral:rRNA from 1 species